UACGUAGGGUGCAAGCGUUAAUCGGAAUUACUGGGCGUAAAGCGUGCGCAGGCGGUUAUGUGAGACAGGUGUGAAAUCCCAGGGCUUAACCUUGGAACUGCAUUUGUGACUGCAUAGCUAGAGUACGGUAGAGGGGGAUGGAAUUCCGCGUGUAGCAGUGAAAUGCGUAGAUAUGCGGAGGAACACCGAUGGCGAAGGCAAUCCCCUGGACCUGUACUGACGCUCAUGCACGAAAGCGUGGGGAGCAAACAGG
rnacentral:rRNA from 1 species